GACGAGAAGCUUGCUUCUCUGAUGUUAGCGGCGGACGGGUGAGUAACACGUGGAUAACCUACCUAUAAGACUGGGAUAACUUCGGGAAACCGGAGCUAAUACCGGAUAAUAUUUUGAACCGCAUGGUUCAAAAGUGAAAGACGGUCUUGCUGUCACUUAUAGAUGGAUCCGCGCUGCAUUAGCUAGUUGGUAAGGUAACGGCUUACCAAGGCAACGAUGCAUAGCCGACCUGAGAGGGUGAUCGGCCACACUGGAACUGAGACACGGUCCAGACUCCUACGGGAGGCAGCAGUAGGGAAUCUUCCGCAAUGGGCGAAAGCCUGACGGAGCAACGCCGCGUGAGUGAUGAAGGUCUUCGGAUCGUAAAACUCUGUUAUUAGGGAAGAACAUAUGUGUAAGUAACUGUGCACAUCUUGACGGUACCUAAUCAGAAAGCCACGGCUAACUACGUGCCAGCAGCCGCGGUAAUACGUAGGUGGCAAGCGUUAUCCGGAAUUAUUGGGCGUAAAGCGCGCGUAGGCGGUUUUUUAAGUCUGAUGUGAAAGCCCACGGCUCAACCGUGGAGGGUCAUUGGAAACUGGAAAACUUGAGUGCAGAAGAGGAAAGUGGAAUUCCAUGUGUAGCGGUGAAAUGCGCAGAGAUAUGGAGGAACACCGGUGGCGAAGGCGACUUUCUGGUCUGUAACUGACGCUGAUGUGCGAAAGCGUGGGGAUCAAACAGGAUUAGAUACCCUGGUAGUCCACGCCGUAAACGAUGAGUGCUAAGUGUUAGGGGGUUUCCGCCCCUUAGUGCUGCAGCUAACGCAUUAAGCACUCCGCCUGGGGAGUACGACCGCAAGGUUG
rnacentral:rRNA from 1 species